GAGGGUAUAGCUCAGUAGUAGAAUGCAUGCUUAGCAUGCACGAGAUCCUAGGUUCAAUCCUUAGUACCUCCA
rnacentral:tRNA from 1 species